CAUGGAUGAGUGCGGCCUAUUUCUUUCUAUAAUUUACAAGCUACGAGCUUUAGAACAUAAAUUUCAACACCUAUAUGAUUAACAUUUGAUUAUCAAUUGUUAGUGCCUCACUUGAUUGGUUAAACACAUAUUUGAUUAAGUUUCCUGUCAAGUUGUUUUCAUGGUUGUCUCAUAAUACGUUUCAGAAUAUUCUUGUCUCAACAAUUGUCAUAGAAGUUGAGAAAGUUGUGACGAUUCAUUAUAUUCUAUUGAUUCUUUUUUGCUGUGUCGUGCUUUUCUAGAAUAUUCUUGCUUUGUUGUCAAUAAUAUUGAUUGUAUCUAGUGGUUGUCUGAUUGCUAAGUAGUUUAUGGAUGUCGUACGACCACUUUUCACUUUUUGUCAAAUACUAAGUCAUUUUUUAUUAUCAUUUGAUUGUCAUCUAAUUGGCUUCCAUAUAUAUAUAUUUUUUAGGUUAGGUUGGGUUGAAUUUUCGUGUUAUUUAUUUCUUUUUUAUUUUAAGUAUAUUAUUUGUUAAAACACUAAAUUCAUAAACUCAAAUAUUAAAUAUCAAAAUUAAACAUAUUUAUUACAAACUUAAAAAAAAUUCAUAAUAGUAUGUAUGAAUUAUACCAUUUAUACAUUGUAACAUAUAUUUUAGUAAUAUUAGAUAUUCGAAAUGGAUUGGAUCAACCCAAAUUUUAAAAAGAAUGUAACUCGAACCAAAUUCAAUCUCGAAAAACAUUAAAAAAUUCAAUCAAACUCAAUUCAAAAUAGAAAUUAAAUCCAAUUCAAGUCUUACAAUUUGAAUGGAAUAAUGUAGAUUGUUGGGUUAUAACAUUAAUAAUCUUACACGUAUUUAAAUAAUAAUAAUUAAGGAUUUAAGGUGAGUUAUGUACAUAAACUAAUCAUUUAAAAUAAUCUAUUUAAUUAAGGCUAAAUAUUCUAGGGAUAAAACCUAUUCCUAGAUUGAUUAGGAUUUAAUGGAAGCUAAUAUAUAAAGAAACUUAGGCUCUCCUCUCCAAUAUACUAAAACAAUAAAUACUCAGAAUUUUUCUAUUCCGUUGAGUUGAGAGAUCCUGAGCAAGACACAGUAGUCAUUUUAUAGCCAAGAGAUCCUGAGCAAGACACAAUAGUCAUCAAUUACUGAAAGAUGAAAUUUAGUAUGUAAUUUAUUCUUGACAAUUUGACAUAAAUGAUCUUGAAUUAAUCUAUUAUAUAGAUCUAAAUAUGGAUGUCUAACCCAUUUUGGUUGAAAAAAUUAUUAUAACAAAUAUAAUUGAAAUAACUAAAGAAUGUCAUCUCAUUCAACUAAAACCACGAUUAGAUUUCGUGGAGUUCUAUAGUUCGCUUUCAAAGAAAAAAAAAUUAUAUUCAACUAAAUAAAUUUUCUCAUGCAUGAUCUCUUUUCCUAAAUUUGUAAUUAAUUACAAAUAAUCAACACACAAAUUAAAUAACCAAAAUAUAUUUUCUUUGUCGGUUGGUGUGUAGCAAUGGAUUCUUCAAGUGGUUAUUUACCAUUACCAUUGAAUCAUUAUGUUGGCGUCAAGUUUAGGCCUACCGACCAACAACUUCUUCAUUAUCUUCAUUGUAAGAUUUAUGGUCAGCCUUAUUUUCAAGGAGCUGUUUUCGACUUUGAUCUUUAUGGUGGAGUCGAGCCAUGGGAAAUCUGGCAAAGUUUCGGAGGAAUUGAUGGUGAAGAUCUUUACUUCUUCACUAAGCUCAAGAGGUCGACAACUAACUCUGGAAAUUUGUCUACUCACAUUAACCGCAAGAUUGGACUCGUCAAUGGUACUUGGAGUGGUGAGAAUUCAGCUAGUCCAAUUUAUGUUAACAAAGAUCAUGAACAAAUAAUUGGUUAUCGCAAGCGCUUUAGGUAUGUGUUUCGGUUUUCGUUUUUGUUAAACUAGUUCUCAAUAUAUAUGUGUCAUUGUUGGGUUUGUUUUAAGCUAUUAGGGAAUUGUCAAGGUAUUUCUCUAUUUGGUAUUUUGUGAUAAAUAAUAUAAUUUUGUAAAUUAUAGGUAUGAGAAUGAGUCGUUGGAAGAACACCAUGGUGAAUGGAUAAUGCAUGAAUAUAGCUUGCAUCCAGAUUAUUUGAGGUGUGAAGGUGUGGAUCCCAAUUAUGUUUUAUGUCGAAUAAGGAAGAAUCAAAGGGCUAAAAGAAAAUUAGAAACUGAAAGUGAGCUGAAACAAUCAAACAAGAAAAGAAUGAAGGUACGUGAGAUCUCUAAUAAUGAAAGACCAAAAGCAAAAACAAAAACAAAGAAAAGAUGUGACGAGUUACAACCAAUAGAUCAAAGAGCAAUAAUAUGUGAGACAAUCUACAACUCGGAUAUCAGACAUGAUGUGAAUACUCAUCAAGAUAUUACUGUUGUGGAUCAUGUGCCAAAUAUGACCACUAAUCAAGAUAACAUAAAUGAAAACACUAGUUUGGGUACCAAAGAAUACGUACCUUGCAUGUCCACUGACAACGAAUUGAGAGAUGAGUUCAACAAUGUUGACUUUUCUACUUAUUUUCAAAACAACUUCAACGAGACAUCAUGUACUUUCAAAGUUUGAUUGGACAUAGUCGUUAUUCAUUGUAUAGAUAUGAUGUGGAAUGCAUUAUUAUUAAUGAACUAUCAUUUAUUUAUUAUCAUUUAUUUAUUUUUUGUAAUACAAUAAAUAUUAUUCUUUGUCGCUCCAAAUAACACCUUAGUAUCUAUCUAUUUUCAUACUACAAAAAUAAUUUAAAUUCUAUAUAAAAAAAAAUUAUAUUGAAGUAUUGACGGAAGUAACAACCAAAGUUCCAAAAAAUCCAAUGAAAAUCAAUGAAAUUUAGAUUAAACUUUAGAGAGCCGCUGAAUUGAAACAUCUUCCAUAAACAUAUUAUAAGUUAUAAAUUUAGAUUUAAUUUUUAAGUAUUUCUAUUUUGUUGAUUUUUUUUUGUUGUAAUUCAGUUUCUAAUAGAUAUUUGUUAUGUGUGAUUGUCUUGUAUUUCUAAUUUAAAUUUUAGUUUUGGUUAAAUAGUUUCCAAAAUUUUGAAUUCUAUAUCUAUUUAAUCUUUAAAUUUUUAAAAGUGUCAAUACAUCUUAAACUUUUCAUCCUCUAUACAAGUUAUCUAUAAGUCUAUCUUUAUUCCGUCAAACUAUCACGUUAAAAUGUUAAACGUUGCAACAAAGUUUGGCCAUUCAUACGAUACAUAUCCUAAAAGUAAAGAAGAGUUUUUCUUUUCUAGAUCCUUUUGACAAUACAAUACCGAGAAAUUCAACAUGAAAAAGCAAGCUAACCCUAAAGUGCUCAGAUUUAAAGUGUCCUAAUCAUCUUCUUUUUUUUUUUUUUUGUUGAUGCUGCUUUUAAGAUUUUUUCAAAGUCUAUAAAAAAAAAUCAUACAAAUAACAUCAAAUCACAAUAAACACAUUACCAGGUUCAUGCGAGCAUAUAUUAAAAUUUUCAUACAUUUUCUAUAACAAAAAUUAUCUACUACGACAGUUGUUUACAUUAGAAAUUGGAAAGGAGAAAAAAAAAACUGAAAACGAAAAUUAAAGGGUUUUAAAGCUUUCCCUCAAAUCAAAAUUUCUCCCAAAUUAAAAACCUUCGUUCCUCCCGAAAGAAGUCAUCUCCAAAUGUAAAAAAGGUCAUCUUCGGACGAUGCCAAUUCCCAUCACCACCCUCUCAUUCUCGUCUCCUCACUCUAGCGCCUGUCGUAACCUCAUCUACCGAACGACAAAGCCUCCUCUAUUGUAACCUAUUCAAUUUGUGUCUGUCAUCUCCAAUUCGCUGCAAUCUCUUCAACGUUCAAACUGUAGUCGUCACCUCCUCUGUCGGUAAGUCAUCUGUUCCUCUUCUCUUUCUCUCUCCCGUGAAGUUUUGCUUAAGAGAGAAAUUUCCUACUUGAAAUUUUUUCCAGAUUUUCCAUUACGCAAAAAAUUUCCUUUCUUCCUUUUUCUAAUUUGAUGAUGAUUAUGAAGAUAAUCACGAGUGUUUCAUCUCCAGAUUUUUGUUCUACUUGAUUCAUAUUCGUUUCUUUGUUUUCUUUGAUCGAAACUCUGUUUCUUUCCCAAAAUUCGACCGCCACGGAAAAGCUUUCCUUCAAGGAUUCGCUUAAAGCACUUGAAGUCGAUGUUCAGCAUGUCAAUACGCUGUAACCCUCUUCUUCUUUUUCUUUACGUAUCAAUUUUUUUUUAAAUUUUUUUGUUUGUUUUGUUUGCUAUAAAUCGUUGUGAAUUAAGAAACUGGUUCUGAUAUGUGUAUUGCUUGAUUUAGUUUGUUAACUUUCUAUUGCUUGUUUUGGUUUUCUGUAGAAGGUACUUGUUCCACUGUCUACAGUAUAAUGGACCGUUUACUUCUUGAAACUCAGUACAUUGUUCAAUGGUGGAUAAGGAAUGUUAAUGUGUCCUUUAAUAUAAUGUCGAAUCAAAGUUGACUUGAAGCUGAAAGAGAACAAGACAAAAAGGUAAAAGGUCUUGAAAAUGAGAUGUUUAUUUAAAGAAAUUUGGGUUUAGGAUAUAUUCUUUUAUUAUAUGACACCUCCCCUUGUCUUUAUAAUUUUAUAUAAUACUAUUUUGGUGAUGUGUUUUUUUGGUUUUUCUGCUGUACAUUUUUUCACGAGAAGAUUGUUCUUUGAUGUUUAGAGGAGCCUAAUACUUCAUCCUUAGUUGACCUUAGUUGAGAAAGAGCUCUCCAACUCUAACCUAAAAGGAGCUUAAAGAUAAGUAUUCGUUGACAGCAGUAGGCAGUAGGCCUUUAAUUAUUUAUCACAUUGUGAGGUCUAAUUGAAUUUCUUCAACUUCAAAUAUUUUUGUCAUUACACUCUUAAAUUAAUUAAUUUUAGUUUGCUAUAUCUAUGCAUAAACAAAUUUGUGGAUUUUAAUGUUAAUAUGUAAUCUUCCAAAUAUUGUUGGUUGUUGAUGGAAACACCAAUUGACAUUUCGACUUCUGUUAGUACUUACUUUUAUAUACCCACAAUUCUUUCUUAUUUGUAACUUGUUCCAUUCUAUUGGGAUUUUUAAUUACAAGUUCUUUUAAAAAUUGUUUAUCUAUCUAACUUGUGUCAAUAUUUAUUUAUGCCAUCAGCUUUACGAAUGUGUUUUGGUUUUGGUUUUUGUUAAACUAGUUCUCAAUAUUUUGUUAAACUAGUUCUCAAUAUAUGCAUUCAUAUAACCUGACAAUAUAGGGUUAUUGAUUUGGUUUUUAUAAAAUGAGUGAAAAAUUUGUUCAUAUAACCAAUAAUUUAACUACACCAUUCUUAAAAAAAAAUCACUCAUCUAAAUGAAGUGUGUUGUUCAUUCACAAAUUUUUCUAUUUAAAAAAAACGUUAUUUUGAAUGAGAUUAGUUCAACGUGAUUAUCUUUGGAUUGAACAGCUUUAGAGAUUAAAAAAAAAAAUUUACUCAUGCCUAUAACUUUGGUAGUCCAUUACGAUUUACCUUUUUUAUUAGACGUUAUUUGAUAAUUAUUUAAGCUUUGUUUUUCUUUUAUUAUUGUUUUUGAAAAUCAAGCCUAUAUCCAUUACUUUCGGCUCCAAAUUUUUUCUUUUUUAUUUGCAUUUUAUAAAUGGUUUAAAAAAACAAAGCCAAAAUUGAAAAACUAAUACAAAAAAAUAUACCUUUUAAAAUUUUAUUUUCUAUUUUUGAAAUUUGGUGAAGAACGAUGCAAAACAUUGGAGUGAUGAGAAUAACAUAACUUUAAUUUUUAAAAAUAAAAAAGCCAAAUGAUUACCAAAUAUGAUUUAGUUUUUUAUUCAUGGAUUUUUGAAAAUUAAUCUUUAAAAAAACUAUUAUUUUUAAAAAAAAUAAAGCCAAGACGUGAAAACUAUGUUAUUGUUUAAAUUUGGCCAUAUAAAACUUUCCGCUUGUUGAACUAAUUUCUUUUGUAUUAGUCAAAGAAUCCUGACAUUAUGGUGUGUUGAUUAUUACCUUAGUGGUUCAUUAGGUUAUUUUCUUAGUAGGGUUGUCAUUGUCCUUGGUGAAGAACAACUACUCAAGUUUUCUUUUGCCCUGCAUGCUAUAUUGCUUACUCUUGGAGAGAUUGUCGUUUCGAUCUGAUCUUGUAUGACAGGUUGUGUUUGACAAGUUGUAUAACAUAUAUAAGAAGAGAAGUUGUAGUGGGUUAGGAGGAGCCUAAUGACAUUAUGGUGAUGGAGUGAAUAAUUCAGGGGAGCUUAAUUCUAUUAAGGAGAGUCAAACAAGUAUCAACUACUUAGGGAGUAGCCUAAGUGAUCGUUAGUCUAAUCUUGUUGUCUAUCAAGAUUUCUUGAAAAUUAAGUUGUUACCUGUAAUCCUUUUCAUUUACUCUAGUGAGCGUUCUUCUUAUUCGAGCAUACUCCCUUGGACGUAGGUGUUGAACAACGAACUGAGUUACCAAUUUUUUUAUGUAAUUCUUUACUUGUUUCACUUUGUUAAUUAAUUACCUUGUUAUAACUUUUGAACUAACAUUCUAUCACUAGUUUAUAUACGUUGUUUUCUCAAACUAAAAUAAUAGUUUUUUAAAAAAAUAUAUUAUUUUUUUUUGUAAAUAUCAGGUGCAACGGAAAAACAUUAAAAUAAAUUGAGGUUUAGUGUAAUGCUACUAGUAGAGUAGUUUCUGAAUACGGGAGAGCGACUUGUCCAUAAUCCAGUGAGUGCUUGUAUAUCUUCUCAUAAAGCGACUGAGAUUUUUCUUCUCUGGUAAAAAUUCUCCUAUUUCUUUCUAACCAUAAAGACCAGAGGGUGACGACCGCCAUGUUUAAGUGGAUGAUUUGUUUUUUGGACUUGGGUCUGUUUCUGCAAAUGUAUUUGCAUAGGAGAGCAGUGUUAUCAAAGUUGUGUUAGAUGAUUUAGAAGAGUUUCAACCUUAUCCCAAAUGUCUUUGCUGUAUGGACAGAUGCAGAAUAGAUGAUUUCUGUUUUCUUCAUUUUUCUUGCAAAGAGCACACCAAGAUGGAUGUAAAACCCAAUUUGGGAGUCUUUUCUGUAAAACUUCAGCCGUGUUUAUACUUGGAAUAAAAAUUCAUCUAUAUUCAAGAAACGUGAAAACCAUUGUAUAAAAUUUGGUAGGAAAAAACAAUGCAUAAAAUACUUGACCUCCAACUUUAAACGCAUAUAUAUUAAAGAAAAAAGCUCAAUUAAUUUAAACAACCUCAAACACUAGAAUUCUACAAUGAAAGGGAAAAAGAGAGAGGGGGAAGAGAAUUACUGAACAGGGAAACAAUGAAGAAUUGAAAACACUGACCAUUACAAACUAAAAGCAAAAUUAAUUAAAAACCAAUGGAUUAACCGAAAAUAAAAUCAUUGAGAGCACCAAAUAUCAAACUCUGAACAAGAGAAUACAUUGUACCCCCAAACACCGAUCCCAAGUUACCAUGAUUCAUCUGAUGAGGAUAUUGAUGAUUAUUAUUGUUGUUGUAUCCAAACUGAACAUGAUUAUUGUAAUCCGGAGGAUAUCCCCAACCAUGAAAAUGAUCAGGUUGGGAUGGUGGCCCCAUCGCCCAGGGUGGAGGCGCAUGGUGGUGUAUCCCACGUGAACGUGAAGUCGAGGAGGCUGCUGUCGAUGUUUGAAGGCAAUUGAUAUGGAUAUUGACAUUACAAACGUUGCAGCCAUAAACCCAGAGAGAAGAAAAUUUAGCUUUGCAAAUAGAACAACGGCCAUAUGGGAGCCUGUAGAGGCGGAGCUUAUGGUCGGGGUCUUUGACGUGGCGGAGGCUGUUGGGAAGGCGAGUGCAAAAUGAGUGAACAUAGAAGUGGCAGUCUUUGCAUUGGUAGAAACUGCUGUGGAUGGUUUCACGGCAAACGUCACAACUCAGGUGAGUUCGAGAGUACGGAUGGUGGGGGUUGCGAAUCAUAUUGUGAGUAAGCGGGUGGUGGUGGAGGAAGGAGGAGAGUCUAUGGGAGUAGUCGUCGUCGUUGGGGAGAUUCAUUGUUGUCAGAGCCAUUUCUCUCCGUGAUGAGUAGAAAAGAAAAAAGAGAGAAAAAUGGAGCUCUUGGGUUAGUCGUGUUGUGUUAUAGUGAGCAAUAUUUUAUACAUCAUAAAAUUUGUAAAAACACAAUUAUAUAUUGAUACUAUUCAUAACUUCGUUCCCUUAAAUUGAUGUGACAAUUUAUAUAUUUUAAAGUUUUAAUUAGAGGAGCAAUUUUUUUUUUCAAAGUAUAGAAUUUGGAUUAUAUUAGGUGUAAAUAAAAAAAAAAAAAAACACUAAUGACCUAUUUUAAUAUACAUUAUGUAAUAACAUAAUAGCCUAAAGUUGUUCUUUAUUCUACACUUUACAAGUUUUAUUGGUUAAAUAUCUCUCAUUUGAUUUUAGUUUUAUUUAUUUUCAUGUUUUUAUUUUUAUUUUUGGUUUUUUUAACGAGAUAUUAUUCUUUUAUCAAGAUACUUUUUUUUCUUCAACACUUCUUUUCUUUCAAUAUACAUUGCUAACAUUAUAUUCAAUUUAAUUUUGCAUCACCAUAUGCAAUGAGUUUUUUUCGUAUAUAAUAAUGCAUCUGUAUUUUUCUUGUUUUGCAAUAUUUUCAUAGUAUAUCUCUCAAAUGUAUAAUGUGGUAUAUUUACUACUUUUUUUUUAAUUCCAUAAUUUCUCAUUAUCUUGUAUCUUUUCUCAAUAUAGAAUGUAUUUAGUAAUGUAUCAUCUAUCAUUCGAUAUGUAAUGAGUGUUUUCAUAUAGACUGUGUUUUCUUUCUUUCUUUCUUUCUUUCUUUUUUUUUGCAAUAUUUUCUUACGUAAUUAAUCUUUUAUAGUAUAUUUCUCAAAUAUUUAAUGUGAAUCACGAUAACAUUUUUUAAUUAUAUAUAAUUUAUGAUCAUGUAACCUUUUAACAAAAAGAGACGUGAAGAAUAAAUAUAGCUAAAAUUUAAAUAAGAAAUAUAUUUAACCAAUAAAAUCACUAAAAUGAAGGGAUCUAAUAAUACACACUAAGUAAUACACCAUAAAUAAUAGUAAUUACAAUAUAUAUCAAAUUAAAUACAAAAUCGUAUUUGAUAAUAUUUAAAGUUGAUUCUUUUAAUGUAAUUAAAUGGUAAAAUUUAGAGAUGGAAUGAGUACUCAGAUUAAUUUUGUCCUAAAAUUAAGAAAUGAGAGGUGAAUUAGACUAUAACUCUAAGUCUUUGAAAUAUAUAUAUAUAUAUAUAUAUAUAUAUAUAUGAUUGUAGUAGCAUCCACCUUUGUGUUGUAAAGAAAUUAAUGAAGAAUGUAGCAGCUUCCUUUUUCUAAAUUAGAGGGGGAAAAAGUGUUUGGAAUAAUUCAACAUUUGGGGCGGAUUUAUUUUUUGUGAUUCAUUACACAUUACAUAUGUAUAAAAGUUAAAGCUAAAGUUGAAAACAAAUACAACUCCCUUCUCGAAUAAAUAAAUAAAUAAAGCUAAAGUCUUAAGUACGAACCUUUCCUUUUUUGUUGCCUCUUUUCUUUUACAAUCUCAAAUAAUGAUUUUGUAAAUACGUGUUUCACAUUAUGUAAUCUUUUACUUUAUUUUUCUUCUUCUUUUUUUUGCUUCUGUGUUGUCUUUAAAAAAAAGAAAAAAACAUACUCAUGACUACUUCUUUCAAAAUCACAAAACAUGAAAUUAAAGAUUGUCACAAUUGAAAACCCUCAUCUAUGUCAAAUUUUCAAAUUUGAAUAUAACUAUAUUACAACACUUUUCUUUUUUACAGACCCAAAUAAAUGUCAGUCUAAGUUAUUCAGAUACAUUUUUUUACGUUGACAAAAACAUCGUCGUAUUCAUGUUAGGAGAAGUUCUUGCCGAUGAAAUUAAGUUUAGUUGGCAUAAGUACCUUUUCUCCAAUGUAUGUUGUUACGUUAGCAUACAAGUUGUGCUGACAAAGCUCAGCUUUGUCUAUAUAGUGUAUUUUUCCUAACGAAAAAUGUUGCGUUGGCAUAUAAGUUGUCCCUACGAAAAUACAUGUUUUGUCAAUAUAACGGUUCUUCACAUUUAAAAAAAAAACAUAUGCUUGUUGACGUUGCUUUUGUUAGCACAAGUGGUUUACAAUUUUAUAUAUAAAUUGUAAUUGCUAAAUAAACACUUUUUUCUCAAUAAUAUUUAAUUAUGGACGAACAAUAAUUAAAUCUCAAUUGAGGAACAAAAUAUAACAAAAAUAAGCUUGUAUAUUGAAAAUAAAAUUAAUAUUCAAUUCAACAAUGUAGCGCACGUUAGUAGUAUAAAUACAUUUGAGAAUUGCCAAGUUUUCACAAAUCUCGCACAUACAUCUUUUCCUAAGCCAAAGUUUUUCAUUCUUUUCACUUUUUGCAAAUCUCCUAUGCUAAAAUAACAUUUCAUUCUCCUAAUCCAAAAUAAGUAAGAUGUGUUACAAGAAAAUAAGUAGUACUCUCAAAAUCUUCUUCCAAUCUCCAAAAACCAAUGUUUGAGAAUUCAAUUUAGAAUGGUAUAACCUAAAAUAGAAAACACAGUAAAAGUGACAAAGUCCCAACAAAUAUGAUAUAAUGACAAUAAUAAAUAAAGUAAAAACUAAGAAAAUAGCACAUAAUAUGAACAUAAAAAAUGGAUGCAUUCAAACUACACAAAGAAUCAAAGUUUGUUGAUGAUGGAUACAUAUAUUGAACAAGUGGCCGUCAAAUUAAUAGCACAUAGUUUGAAUAUAACAAAAAUAUAAUGACAAAGUCACGUUUGUGGGUGUGAUCACUUUGUUACUUUGGAGAGAUGGAUGUACGUAAGUGCCAAAGUAAGAUAAAGUAACAAAAGUUCAUUAGACCACUCUUAUACCCUCUAUCAUUAUUUGGUCUCCUUUCACUUUUCAGUUCAAUAUCUUCUUUAACCUUCAAAAAAUCUAUCAUUAAGUUUUCUAUAUAUAGAAAAUUUUAAUUUAUUAUUAAAAUUAAAAGUUCUUAGAGUUUGUUAGGGAGAAUUUUCAUAGUAAAAAAAGUAUUAUAUUUAAUUUACACUUCAUAUUUGUUAACAUAUGAUAGAGUAGAGGUCUCUCAGUAUGUUCUAUUAUUUAUAACCCUCAAUGGUCUCUCAUUUAAAAUGGUGGGGUUUUAAUAUUUUUUUUCUUACUAAUUUUCUAAUUUUAAGAGGAUCUUUGUUAGUGGUUUUCACCAAAUUUUAUUAGGCUAAAUAAUAAAAAUUAACGCUGUCUCUUAUAAAAUAGUUGUUAAUUUUACUCUUUUUUGUUUCUUAAAGAAGUACUAAAAUAGUGUUUGAUAAAUUUUAGGAAAAAAUGCACAAACGACACUCAUUGAUUACAAUAACACUUCUGAACUAUCGAUUUGAUCAAUCAUAUAUCCCCUUAAAAGUUUAUUAUUGGUUGCAAUCAAUCCUUUGGUUAAAUAAAAUUUUAUUCAUAUUCAUAUUCAUAUGCAAUAUCCAUACGUUAUUAAAACGAAACUCAAAUAAAGACCAACAUGCAAAACUAAAAAAAUACAACAUACUAAGUAAUUAAAACGGAAGUCAAAUAAAGAAGAACACAUAACUUAAAAAUAUAUAACACACUUGACAUUUCACCACAACGGUCAAUCCAUGGACAGAGAGCAAUUGAGCAAACAUUGACUUUACAAUCUUUAAGCGGAACGAUGUAAGGGGCAGCAUAGCCCUAACCAGCCCUUCAUAAUGCCCAAGACAUUUGGGCUCUUCAACCUCAAAUACAGAUAUAUAUUACACACUUCAAAAACAAUACUCUAACCGAGAUAUUCCGUUAAUACCUCCUGACCCCUCAUUAUAAAAAAAGAAACGCUAGAUUAAUCUAAAAAGAGAAAAAGAUCUUUAUUGAGCUAAUUAAACAAAAGGCUAGAGAUGAAAGAAGCACCAAUACUUCCAGCAACAGAUGAAGCCAUGGAUGUCAAAGCCCUACAGUUUUUCUUACCCUUGGAUUGAGGAGGAGGAGGAGCUUUUGUUGUUGGCGCAUCAUACAUGGGGUAUCCUUCAUACAAACUAGAUUGAUAAGGAUAAUAAUCCUCAUAUUCAUGAUAGCUACAUUGAUGAUCAGGAGGAGGAGCUCUUGUUGGUGGUGCAUCAUACUUGGGGUAUCGGCCUUGAUAAUUACAAGGAGACCGGUGAGGAUAAUAAUCCUCAUAUUCAUGAUAGCUAGUGUGUCGAGCACGAUGAGGACGAGAAACUGGUGCUUUGUACUUAGGAUAUGAUCUUUUAUGAGGAUAAAUAUAUUCAUCGCUGUGAUAACCAUAUGUACUAUUCAUGUUUGGACUGUGCAUGCCAAAUAACAAAAAUAUGAAUAUGGCAAGGGUUAGGGUCCUUUAGAGGUUGAGAGUUUUGUGACAACAUAUAUGAUCAGAGAGGCAAUAUAUAUAUAUAAUACUUGAGAAAUUUCAAAACCAU
rnacentral:lncRNA from 1 species